GGAAAUUCAUGCGAAGGACCCGAAGUUUCAUGUUUUGUUUAUUCCUGGAAAUCCAGGUGUUAUCUCAUUUUAUCUUGAUUUUCUGGAAUCACUCUAUGUUCUGCUGGAUGGAACUGCAUCUGUGACAGCAAUCUCACACAUUGCUCAAACAGAAAAGAAUUGGGAGCAUGGAAGGCUGUUCUCACUGCAAGAACAAACAGAUCACAAGAUGAACUUCAUAGAGCAUGAACUUCAGGAUGUUGAAGUUCCUAUAGUACUGGUUGGUCAUUCUAUUGGAUCAUACAUAUCUCUAGACAUUUUUAAAAGAUUCCAAGGAAAGGUGGCAUACUGCAUUUGCUUGUAUCCAUUUCUAGCUGUAAAUACCAAGUCUUCAACACAAUCUAUUAUAAAGAAGAUUGCAGCAUCUCGCACCUUAUCUACAGGCUUUAGUUCAAUUGUAGCAAUUCUGGGAUUGUUACCAGUCUGGAUCUCCAGGAUUCUGGUGAAAAACUCUGUGGGAAAUUCCUGGUCCCCAGCUGCAGUGGAGGCUCUUUGUUCACAUGUCCUCAGGUACCAUACUGUUCAGAACAUGCUAUACAUGGCAAUGACCGAAUUCGAAAAGCUUUCUGAGGUACCUGAUUGGUCAUUUAUGAGGGAAAAGAAAAGUCAGAUGGCAUUUUUGUUUGGAGUCGACGAUCACUGGGGUCCCUUAGAUCUUUAUGAAGAGAUCUCCAAUAAGGUACCAGGUGCUGUUGUAGCAGUAGAAAAAGAGAAUUUUACUCAUGCUUUUUCUUGCACAGAGGCUGGCUCAUUAUGGGUAGCUAAGCAUGUUU
rnacentral:misc_RNA from 1 species